rnacentral:RNase_P_RNA from 1 species
UUGGCAAGCCAGACAAUCGCUGUCCGACCGCUUGAUUUAAGGUGGUCGGAGGGAGGAAAGUCCGGGCUACAUAGGGCGACGUGCCAGCUAACGGCUGGGCAGAGCAAUCUGACGACAAGUGCAACAGAGAGCAGACCGCCCGACUACUCAGUCUAAUUAUUUGUUUUUAUCCGUAGAAACAGAUGUUUAGAUUGAGUAGUUGGGUAAGGGUGAAAGGGUGGGGUAAGAGCCCACCGCAUGGCUGGUAACAGUGCAUGGCAAGGUAAACUCCACGUGUAGCAAGACCAAAUAGGUGUCCAAUGGGUUGCCCGCUCAGGACACGGGUAGGUUGCUUGAGCGUGUCAGUGAUGGCACGCCUAGAUGAAUGAUUGUCCAAGACAGAACCCGGCUUAUCGGCUUGCCGCCUUU